GACAGUGUGGCACAGUGGUUUAAGUGUUGGACUACAACUCGAGACCGGGGUUCAAAUCCUCGCUUGGUCA